AGACAACUCAUUAUACGGCGAAGUCUCCAAAAUUGGCGAAUUGACACCCCACAUUGUGUGCGCCAAGCUGGCGUUCCCCUCACACACACGCAUGCCGGACCGGUCACGAUGGCGUUGUAGUGCGAACAUGCACGCGUUCUCCACCUGCGCAUGAGCUCGCCCUGAAUAGAAAACGCCUCCGCUCUGCACUUCGCAAACUUUGGCGGGGCCUACGUGGCCCUCCGAUCAGGACGGCAUCACAGAGGUGUCGUGGGGGGGGGGGGGUACCCCCAUCGGGAAGACUCCGAUGGGUCGCAUUGCUGCACCCGAAACGCAACCAUCAUACACAUCUCUCGCGAAAUGACGUAGAUCUCGCCGGGGCGUGCGUGACGCUGCACGAAGAGGGCGAGCACAGGAAACUCGCAUCCGCUCAGGAAUUCCGCUCUGUCUUGGAAGAGGUGUGAGUUUGAGAUGGCCGACUCGCGUGUACCCCCACAGCAGCCCCAGUGAUUGCCUUCCCGCCUCAAACACGGUGGCCACCGCCUUACGGAGCUGCCGCGCCCACAAUGCGACGCCUACACGGCACAGGGCGCACCGAUGGCGCCCGCAUCCCCGCAGGGUGACCGUGAGCAGAGGGAAGCAGCCGAAGGAGAGCACGCAUGUGCUCCCCACGCCUCGAAUACGCGCCAUCUUGCUCCCGUGCAGGUUACCCGGCUCUCACAGCCUGAAGAGGAGGAGGGGCCAUCCUGCGCGUCCUACAAGCCGUGCCCGAAACCAGCCCAUGGACGCCUACCAGUGGCCAAAGAAGAGCGGAGGGAGCCCCCUUGCACGCGGCACAGGGGAAGGCGAUGCACCUUGCCGAUCUGUGUGGCGAGAUGAGAAGCGAGAGGCAGCAACGGAUGCGGUGCAUGGGAAGUAUCCUCGACCAGUGCCCCCGCGCGUUCCCAGAAAGCGUCACUCCUCCGCCGCCGGUGACAGACGCGGAUGUCGAGGCCCCUCCCCUCACUGGCAGCAAUCGUUAUGGUGUGCCCAGCGCAGCACCGACCCCUCUCCUUGAAUGGGCCCCCACCGUCGUGGAAGAGAAGAAAGGACGUAUCGGACGGCGGCACCCUCAUUCUCUGGCCGCGACAAGUCAACAGCUGGCCAGAUGAGCAGCGUUACAACGCGGAGGUGGGUCUGGAUGCGCAGCCACGGGAGAACUCGUGCUCCACGACUGUGUGCGUGUGGGAGGGGGGGUGACAGAUCUGGAAAGGUCAUCUUUUUCAAGUGCUUCUUUCCGUGCAUCUGCGGCCGCUCUUGAGCCUGUGAACCAGGGACCGCUCCGUGCAUCAGCGAAGAGCGCACCCGAAUGAGCUUGGCUGUUGGCCCAGUGGUGAUGUGGGUAGUGACAGCAACAUCGGCCUGCCAUCCUAUGUGUGCCACGCGACCCGCCUCCGACAUUCACGUGAAGGUCUGCAUCGACAGCAUUCAACGAACGGGUGGUCGACAGGCGGUGGAGACAGCUCUGCAGGGGCCCCGAAUCGCCGCGGAAAAGCUUAGCGCCACCUCGAAUGACGACGAGACCGGCACCUGCAACAUGUCUGCGUUGGCUGGCGUGGCGCUUGACCACAACUUGGGAACGGUCUGCGGUGGAAAACAGACGUGCACCCAGCUGAGCACCGAUUCGUUCAAGCAGCUGACAAGGAGGAAGAGCUGGGACGGCUCAUGGGUCGGCUUUGGUGUGCCGCCCGAGUCGUGCACAUGCCCCCUCACAAUUUUCGUCUUUUCCUCGCGGCGACGCGCCGGCUCUGCUCGAAAACGGUCACGAGGCCUCCACUGUGGUUCCUCGUGGGCGGAUCUGCCUCAGAGCGCCCAAAGCGAACUCCGCUUGUGGCGCCAACGAGCAGCACCGAAUAUAAACCACGUCGCGCCGCACGUCUUUCGGCGUCUGCCGCAGAGCACGGCCUUCACAUAGGCUGCAACCCCAGGAGGACGGGGAGGGGGAGGGUGCGCGGUACGCAUGCAUCCGCAUACGAGGCAGAUGGUCGUCACCGGUAGCCUCUGAGGGGAAGGGGAGGGGCGCCAGGCGCAAAUAGCAUCAACUCGGCUGGGCUCUGCGCGGUUUGCUGUGCCUUGUAGGCACAAACAACAUUUCCAAAGAAAGCGAAGAACAGCGGCAGCACCACACCUUCCCAAAGAUAGCACGCCGGCCCUCUCUGCCCUCCGUGAAGGCUGCGCACGCGGCCAUGCGAUUCAUGCUGCAAUUCAUGCGCGGAUAACUUUUUUUCCCAUACGCGGCCACUUCUG
rnacentral:misc_RNA from 1 species